rnacentral:rRNA from 1 species
AGAGUUUGAUCCUGGCUCAGAAUCAACGCUGGCGGCGUGCCUAACACAUGCAAGUCGAACGAGAAAGUGGUAGCAAUACCGUGAGUAAAGUGGCGCACGGGUGAGUAACACGUGACUAACCUACCCUGGAGUGGGGGAUAACUGAGGGAAACCUUAGCUAAUACCGCAUAACACCUACGGGUCAAAGGAGCAAUUCGCUUUGGGAGGGGGUCGCGGCCGAUUAGUUAGUUGGCGGGGUAAUGGCCCACCAAGACAGUGAUCGGUAUCCGGCCUGAGAGGGCGCACGGACACACUGGAACUGAAACACGGUCCAGACUCCUACGGGAGGCAGCAGUGGGGAAUUUUGCGCAAUGGGGGAAACCCUGACGCAGCAACGCCGCGUGGAGGAUGAAGUACUUCGGUACGUAAACUCCUU